GAUGAACGCUGGCGGCGUGCCUAAUACAUGCAAGUCGAGCGAAGCGGGGACGGGUGAGUAACACGUGGAUAACCUCCUAUAAGACUGGGACAACUUCGGGAAAAAGGAGCUACACCGGCUACUUAUAGAUCGAUCCGCGCUGAAUUAGCUAGUUGGUAAGGUAACGGCUUACCAAGGCAACGAUGAAUAGCCUACAUGAGAGGGUGAUCGGCCACACUGGAACUGAGACACGGUCCAGACUCCUACGGGAGGCAGUAGUAGGGAAGCUUCCGCAAUGGGCGAAAGCCUGACGGAGCAACGCCGCGUGAGUGAAGAAGGUCUGCGGAUCGUAAAACUCUGUUAUUAGGGAAGCGGUACCUAAUCAGAAAGCAACGGCUAACUACGUGCCAGCAGCCGCGGUAAGUC
rnacentral:rRNA from 1 species